GUCCAAUUACAAAUAAAUAAUCCAUACAACAUAACUCUUUGAUAUACACUUUUUUUCAGGCAGGUAAGAGCAACCAAGAAUACAUUGAAAAUGAGUUUACAUUAAAUAACCAAUUACAAUAUACAACUGGUCAUUCGGUUACAUUUUCAGCAUGGUCCAAUAUAUACACUGUUUAAAAGUGGACCACUUUAUAUAAAACACAGAUGUAUACAAUUUUCUUACAGGCCCAAGAAAUGAACACACAUCACAGCUUUAAAAAAAAGUUGCAUCAGGAUCUCUAAGAAUUCAAAUACAAAAAUGUUUAUAAGCUUGUGAAUUUUGGCAGCAAAUAGAAAAAUGUAUGCCAAGCUAUCUUAUUCUUACUGGCAGGUGCUGGAAAAAUUGACAAGCUCCACGAGAUUUUAUAGAGGUUAUCAAGUCGACAUAUUAAAAAGAUUAUUACUUAGAGAAUUGACAUCACCUAAUGCCAUUGAUUCAAUUUUGCACUGAAUUUAACUUUCAUUUCAGCAAACUACUAACAGAAGAAUGCUUCCUUGGUGGGCACAUCUGAUCUUCACAGAAAGAAUUAUGGAGAUUAUUGCAACAAACUUGUAAGAACUCUUCAAACAUCUUAUUUUCCCAAUCAAUCCAGGAAACCUCCCUAUUAAGAAUGUCUUCUAUCUGGAAUUUGACAUAGUUCAAAAUUUAUUGUAAUAUUUUCAGAAACAAUGCCAAAGCCAAGAAAAACACCUUAGAACUUAUUUCUUUCCUUUCUUAUCUGUCAGGUCACCAAAAUAACUCAGUAUCUCACACAAUAAAACAUUUUAAAGUUAUUUAAUUUUCCUAAUGAUGACAAUGCAAGAUUAAUUGAAGGAUGAAUAAUAUUUGUUCUAUAUACUUAGUCUCAACAUUCUUGUUUUGCUGUGGUUAUAGUUGUCUGGCUCAGAUUUGGUGUACUGAACCAAUGUUCCACUCUAAGCCUAUCAACAAAUGAGAGACUAGGUAGAUAAUGAAGUCAGCUAAGUCUCAAUAGCUGUUUCUGGAAGGAAAAAGAAAAUAUAUUUUUCAGUUCUGAAAUACAUGCUAAUUGGUUAUCUAAUCUUUUCUAACUAAAUUCUACUUUUCUUAAGGACAUCCCCCACCUGAAAGAAAGUAUAUUGCAAAAUGCAACAGAAUCCCAAAUUAGAAAAAUGCUCCCACUGUGGAAAUUUUAUUCUUUGAGGUCAAAAAAAAAGCCUGGUCCAAAUGGCAUGUGAACCAUGCUUCUUUUUAUGAGCCGUUUUCCUACAAAUCUACAUUUUCAUACCCUUCUUAAUUCUUUUGUCAUGUAAUGUAUGCAAUAAACUGGGGCAAUUUAAAUGUUUCUAAUCUCCAUUUUCCUAGAAUCCAAGACUUUCUACUUCAUAAAUUAUAUUAAUAUUGAUGUAGAAAGAAGGCCUUCUUGUUCCUCUUAAUUUCUCUCAUCUUAAAAAAGCACUUCCUCAGGGCAAUUGUUCUAAACUAUCAAGAAAACAUAUGGCAGAGAGAAAUAUGCGAAUACAUGAUAAGAAGAAAAGCCAAAAACAAAAAAUUAAAAAACUAAUUUUCAAGGUGUGAUACCGUUGUGAUGCAACCAAAGCCUUCCAAUCAAGCAACAUACGUCCAUUUAGUCUUAAGUUGCUCAACAUUCAAAAAUCUUACCCAAGUUAUCUAGGGCCAAAUAUUUAAUAUUUUUGCCUUUGUUUUUAUGUUUAAAGGAGCUGAGAUGCAGUUACUUCUAUGAACUGUGCUUUUACGUUAAUAGGUUAAAAAAAAUUUCAUGUAAUAUGUUGCUGAAAAGUGUGCCAAUAAAUUAAAAAGCAUUGAUUUGUGCACAUUUCAAUUUGUGUGAUCAUCUUUGAUGUCAUAUUCUCUAAUUCCUUGGGUAAUGUUUUAUAAAUUCUAAAGCACUUCAAAAAGUUUAUCUAUUAGACAGGCAGCAUUGUAGGAAUCAAGUGUCUAGUGAUAUAGAAAAACUUGGAAAUUAAAUCUUAACAGUUCUCCAAUUUAAAGGUUAAUAAGAAGAAUGUCUUCUAAAUUAUCACGUAACCUUGAUGAGAACACUUUUUCAAUCCUAGAUGGCCCCAUUUUUAUUCAUAUAUCAUAUUCAUAUCCUUCAAGAUAAAAAACAUUUGUAAUUAGCAAAGGGAAAAAGUUGAAGACUUUUUUACAAGAAGGACUUACUCAAAUAUCCAACUAACAUAUAGAUGUAAAUAAAUACAACCUGGUGCGAAUUUAUAUCCAAGAAAAUACUCCUAAAUUUAAAAACAAGAAAUAAUCAAGCCAAUUGGACCACAGGUAGGGGAUAUAUGACAGUUUUCAAUGAUUCAUGUGUUGCAAAAUAUAGAAACCUGAAUGUUUUUAAGGCUGAUGUAGAAAAAAGAUGUUUGGCUUUUUAAACUACCAUCUUUAAAAAAUACCUUGUCGAACCUUCAG
rnacentral:lncRNA from 1 species